UACCUCGGAAAUAGGCAAUCUAGUG
rnacentral:piRNA from 1 species